AUUGAACGCUGGCGGCAGGCCUAACACAUGCAAGUCGAACGGUAACAGGAAGAAUCUUGCUUCUUUGCUGACGAGUGGCGGACGGGUGAGUAAUGUCUGGGAAACUGCCUGAUGGAGGGGGAUAACUACUGGAAACGGUAGCUAAUACCGCAUAACGUCGCAAGACCAAAGAGGGGGACCUUCGGGCCUCUUGCCAUCGGAUGUGCCCAGAUGGGAUUAGCUAGUAGGUGGGGUAACGGCUCACCUAGGCGACGAUCCCUAGCUGGUCUGAGAGGAUGACCAGCCACCCUGGAACUGAGACACGGUCCAGACUCCUACGGGAGGCAGCAGUGGGGAAUAUUGCACAAUGGGCGCAAGCCUGAUGCAGCCAUGCCGCGUGUAUGAAGAAGGCCUUCGGGUUGUAAAGUACUUUCAGCGGGGAGGAAGGGAGUAAAGUUAAUACCUUUGCUCAUUGACGUUACCCGCAGAAGAAGCACCGGCUAACUCCGUG
rnacentral:rRNA from 1 species